CCUACGGGAGGCUGCAGUGGGGAAUAUUGGACAAUGGGCGAAAGCCUGAUCCAGCCAUGCCGCGUGUGUGAAGAAGGCCUUCGGGUUGUAAAGCACUUUCAGUGGGGAAGAAAGCCUUGGGGCUAAUACCCUCGAGGAAGGACAUCACCCACAGAAGAAGCACCGGCUAACUCCGUGCCAGCAGCCACGGUAAUACGGAGGGUGCGAGCGUUAAUCGGAAUUACUGGGCGUAAAGCGCGCGUAGGCGGUCUGAUAAGCCGGUUGUGAAAGCCCCGGGCUCAACCUGGGAACGGCAUCCGGAACUGGCAGGCUAGAGUGCAGGAGAGGGAGGUAGAAUUCCCGGUGUAGCGGUGAAAUGCGUAGAGAUCGGGAGGAAUACCAGUGGCGAAGGCGGCCUUCUGGACUGACACUGACGCUGAGGUGCGAAAGCGUGGGUAGCAAACAGGAUUAGAUACCCUGGUAGUC
rnacentral:rRNA from 1 species